CUUCCAAAUGUCCACCUCAGCAAUAAGUGGGUCUCACUCAAAAAAAAUAUGUAAUAACGAGUUUUGUUUCAAUCUAAAACCAAACGCCUUGAUCAAAAAAAAAAGCCAAACGCCAAAACCCAAUAGUCGGAGACGUCGAUUGUGUAACGUAGUCCACCACCAUCAAAGCUAUUAAAAGCUUCAACUCAUCCAUACUCUUCAUCUCUCCCCCGAAUCCAAAUCUCCUCUGGUAGCUUCCAUGGAUGAGAAACAGUCAGAUUUCCAGAUCCAAAGCUUUGAAUAAAUCUAGCACCAAAGCUCCGACAAUAUCAACCAGCGCAUCAAUGUCUAAGAAUCCAGCGAAAUCACCACUAAAGCUCCAACUGAAUCGACCACCAGUUCCAUGGAUAAGAAAAAAAGGGUUGCUUGGCUCCAUCUACAGCUUUGAAUCCUGCAAAAAGAAAGAUCCUCAUAGGGUUUGAUCUGUUAUUUAUGGCAAAGAGGUAUGGCUUGAUAUUCUAAAUCCCUGAAUUUCAUAACCUUUUUCUUAUCAUCUAACCUAUACUACACCUCAACAUGAAUCUGUGCUACAAGGAGCAUAGCUCAGAAUCGUGUAAGCCGGUAUAAAAAUUUCUGAAGCGUGGAUCUCAGCCUCUUUAACCUCUUAUCUCAAAUUUUUUUGACACUUUCAAGGUCUAUCCGUUCUUCAAGAACAUAGUUUAGCGAUUGAGUUCAACUGGUUCUGGUUCCAUUCAUGCGAAGAGUUUGAAGCAAUCUCUAUGGUAAGGUUUAGGUUUUGUUGUCGAAUACAGUUAAAUUAUUUAAAUUAUUUUGCUUUUUUGUUGUUGUUGGUAUUUUAUCGGGAUGCAGAUAAAGAUCCAGAGUAUGGUAACCAAGCUGAGAUCAAAGCGCAAAGGAUGACUGCAUUUUAUGUUGAGACGAGCUUACUGAAGCGAGUGCUAGGGUAUUGCAACACAUCGCUUCAGCUCCAGAGGAAGGAAAUGUCAUACAACAAUUAUCUUGGUGUUGACUCAGCGUGGAACUGCGUAUCAGAUUCAGAAAACCCAACAUGUGCAGUCAUGAAGCACACAAAUCCUUGUGGUGAGGCCUACCAGAUAGCUGUAAUAGCUGAUCCAGGUAGCACCUUUGGUGGUAUUGUAGCCGCCAAUGUCAAAGUAGACAAGGAUUGUUCGCAACAAAAAGAAAAGACAUCUAUUGUGUUACUGAUCACAAGCUCACCAUCUGUUUCACUCAGAAUAUUGUCCUCUCGGAGCUUCAAUACAACCCAGUUGUGAUCGAGAGAAACAUGUUCAGGUUCCGCUCAUUCCAAGAGUUUGAGAGGUGAUUUGUAUGAUAUCAUCCGCCCAUGAAGGUCAUCAAUUGACAGUCUCUCAGCAAACACCCGGUCUUGAACGGAGGCAGCACUCCCACCUACAGCCAAAACAAUGACCUAUGAUUAAUGUUUACCUUUGGGACCAGGCUUCUCAUGAGUCCCACAACAGGUUCAAUGAAAGUCUUGCCACUCUUGCUGUUGCAUUAGUAACAGCAGUUAACACUAAACGUAUUGGAGGUACCUUGCUAAGAUAUCUGUCUACGACAAUGUCGUUAAGGCAACUUUUGUGCUCCUUGGUAAUACUGGUCCUGAGCUAACAGGGAGGCAGGCGUUAGAGCUUAUUGACAAUUACUUCGAGGCUAAUGGGGACAUCGGUGCUAACCAUGAGAUGCCAACUCCACAAUGUCUGGUGGAAGUCUCAAGCUCCAACCUUACAGUUAAGAGACAGACCAUAAGUGUGACGAAGGUUGUUUCUCCUGCAGUUCUGCCACCAUUUGUAGUAGCAGAAAGCCAACCAGACGCAAUCGAUGAAGAGAGCACAUGCUCCUCGAUUAAUUCAUUUCUGUCAUAGGGAGUCUAGCAUAACUUUAUCCAAACUAUUUUUGAACUCUCUGUUCUUGCAUAUUUUUAUAAAUAAUGAAUAAUGACUUGUGAAUUUGAGGUACUCUCCUUCCUAAGCAUGUGUUGUGUUUUCGUUCUUUAUAAGUUGGGUUUUAAAUUUGAAAUACAUAAAAACUAUAUUCUGAACUA